UGUUAUUGGUAUUAUUAUUGUUGUUGUUGUUAUUUGAGGUAUUCUAGCUCGUUUCGUCUUAACAUUUGAGAGUUUCAAGCAGUAUUCUACAUCACCGGCUACGCGUACCUCUUUCUGAAAUCUUUACAGCAUUGUGUUUUCCUUUUUUUCUUCUUCUUUUGUAGUUGUGGGGCCGGCACAAACUCUUGCAGGUAUUGUAUUGCAUCAGUUUGUUUUGUGAUGCGAUUUCAAUGCAGUCCUGUGUGUAAUUAGUGUUUUGGGGGUAUUAUGUGUGUUGUGCGUGUAAUGGGAGUAGUGUUCUUCUUUUGGCUAUGAAGUCUGAAAAUUAAUUGUUCCUGGGUUGAAGAAGAAGAAGAAGAAGAAGAAGAAGAAGAAGAAGAAGAAGAAGAAGAAGAAGAAGAAGAAGAAGAAGAAGAAAUAGUCUCUGUUAUAAGAUUGCGCCUGAAAUAAUAACCCUUUCAAGAUACCAUGCUAACCCAAGAAAUGAAAAGACAUGCAAUUUUAGUUGGUAUAUACGCAAACCAAAGUGAUUUAGAAAUUAGGAACUUUCUAAAUGUUGUAAGAUCAUUUGUACACAAAUUCGAUUGGAAUUGGAGGCGUGUAAUAGUAUUGUUUCACCUGUCUCAAAAAAUAAAAAAAGUGAUAGAUUCACAAAAAUCCAAAAUGUGAUUUUACUAUAUCCAACAUAUAGUGGGACCAUAUCGAUACUAUCUUCUCUAUGAUGCACCAAACACUUUAACUGGCAAAAAUCAAGUACUUGUUUCAGAAGUCAUUUGACUGUGGCCAUGCUAGAGCACCGCCUUUAGUCGAGCAAAUCGACCCCAGGACUUAUUCUUUGGAAGCCUAGUACUUAUUCUAUCGGUCUCUUUUGCCGAACCGCUAAGUUACUUACCACACAGCCACUCCUACGCCUAUACUGAAAAAGACAAUGAAAAUAUUUAUUAUCAUUGCGUUUCUAAUUUCAGGUCACAAGGGAAUGCUUCUUCGUUAUUGCAGUAAACAUUAAAUUCUUGAGACAUAUGUAAAUAAAGUUUACAGUCUGUGUUUUAGCUAUUUUGAUUUAGUAGUUGUUACUCUGCCAGAUUUGCGUAUGAUGAAAAAUUGCCAUAUUGGUGAAGUGAGGCAGGCGUGGAGCUGAUAGAAUCUUUAACACCUCAGGCAAAUUACUUAAUGGCAUUUCGUUCUUCUUCACCCUGUAAGUUCAAAUUCCGUCGAGGUCAAAUUUAUCAUUCAUUCUUCCGGGGCUGAUGAAACAAAUGCCAGCUGAGUACUGGAGUCGAUGUAAUCGAUUUAUACUUGUGCCAAAAUUUGAAACCAAUAUAAUUGAAAUCGUACAGACACGUAGGUAUCCAUCCUGAAUACUUGACAUACAGUUGUGUUGUGUAUGGUUGCUUAUUACAUUACAGGUAUAUUUUAAAUAUAGAUAAGUACUUCUAUAUUUCCAACUAUUGCAUUUUGGAUUAUUUCGAUAUUAGUUGCAAAUGUUGCCACAUGGCCAGUAAUUUCGAGGGAGAAGUUUAGGCAAUUACACCGAACAGGUUUCUCAACUGCAACUUAUUUAAUCACCCCCAAAAUGAUGAAAUGCAAAUUCAACCGCUGAAUUUGAACACGGCACAUAAAGUCACACCUUAUGCCGUUAAAUGUUUUUCUGCAUUACUAUCAACAUCAGCCAUCUCACCACCUUAGAUGAUUUCAAAAUUUGUACAACACCAUCAACCUCGAAUUAUGAGGCUUUUGUGUUUCAUCUGCAGCUUGUAGCCAAUAUAAGGUAAACAACAGCGUUUCAACAAAAGAGUAAUACUGCCCCGAGAAUCUGAAGGGGUGAAUUGCCCGCAGACAUACGGGAAUAUAUCUGCAGUCUCUAGACAUAUUCACAGAAUGAAAAUAAAGAAAAGAAUAUUAGAAUUUAACAUUUAAGUCAAUAUAAAGUAAGCAUUUUAAUUUAACAUUCAAUUAUGUCAUACAAAAUUAGAAAACUAACGUCGUCGUAUAAUUUGACAACCUGAUGUGAUAAAGAUAAAUACACAACACAAUGACUCGUUAUUUUUCAUAUAUAUUCAGAAAAUGAUACCUUACAACCAAUAAAAAAAAAUCAUGCAGACCAGUGUAAUACACUCGAUGUAUUUGUCAACACUUUUCGACAAGGAAGAAAGUUUUAUUAUUAUUUACAUAGCUGUUGCUAGUGUUUUAUACAGCCGUUCCUCGUUUCACGCAGAGAUGUCAAGUAACAGCAUUUUGAGCGUUUUCCUGUGACUGUCCAUCAGAGAACCUCAAGUCCAACCUUGGCUUUUCAUUGCUAACCUCCACUUCCAUUACAAAAACAGCACAUUCCUGGAAGGCUUCGUUCUCUUAAUCGGGUAUAGACAGAGUGGGAUCAUGGCUACCCCUACCCUGAAUAUACUGGAACACAUGGUACUCCAUGCUUCACAAAACAUCGCUUUGACCCGGAGAUACGUUGACGAAGCAUCCGUCUUGACUAACUCCAGAGAUAAGUCGACCAGGAUCCCCAAUAGCUUUCAAAGCCUCUAUCACAACAUCCAGUUUGAGAUUAAACACCAAGCCACUAGUUGCUCACUGAGACUCCUCGACUUCUUUAUAUAAAGAUAUGCAACAAACCGUUUCUUCGAGAAACAGGCGAAGAAAGACAUCUUCCACUACUCGGGUUCAUCAUAUCCACUGUUGUUGAUGCAAAUUGUAGCCUUUAACGAGUUCAACAGCCGCGUAAGCAGGUGCGACGUGGCUGAAAUAGAGAACCAUCUAAGGACAGAAUUCAUUAAGAUACUGCACCUCACAUGAUGCAAUCCUAUAUUCAUAGAAAAUGUGUGCAACACUCUAAACACACGGGAACGGCAGUUACAAAGACACCGCGACAAUUCUAUCUGGUAGAAGAAGAAUAGCAACGAUGACGACGUCGACGACGAUGACAAAAACAACGAUGACACCGACAACAUCCACAACAGCAAAAGCAACAACUACAGACACAAUGGUGGCAGACGAACUUAUGACGAUGAAGGUGAUGGUGACCACAACAACAACUCCAACAACCACCACAGCAGUGGUAACUCUCGCAAUCACGAUAAAAAUAACAACAUCAACAUUGGCAGCAGCAGCAGUAACUGGAACAAUAAUAAACAGCAGCAGAGUAGCAACGGCAGUGACGGGAACAACAGUAAUAACAACGACGAUCUUAGAAACUAAAACAGCAGCAGAGUCGGAGACAGUAAUAGCAGAACCAACAACAACAACAAUAGUCAAAAAACAACGAAAAGGAUGAAGAAAGAAUGAGAGGAAGAAAGGAAGGAAGAAAGAAAGAAAGAUAAAGAAAGAAAGAAAAAAGUAAAGAAAGAAAGGAUGACGGAAAGUAAGGAAGAAAGAAAUGAAAAUGUAAGGGUUAGGUUACGUCAACUUUCCAUACAAUGGUGACAAAGCAGAAAACAAGAUAAAGAACAUCGAAAAAUGUUGUCUGCCCAUCAGAAUAGCCUUGACACUACCUCUCACAAAAACAAAACACUGGACACAUGCUGUUUGAACCAAGACCCAAUCAAAGCAAAACGGCCAAAGGUCAGCGGCCAGUUAUGUUUUAAAACUCACGCAGUGUAUCAAAUGACGUGUUUAUGUGAGCUAACGUAAAUAAGAUCGACGAAAAGACAGCAUUCCCACAAGCUCACACCUCUCGUUGUGCGUAUUCCAACAAACCCAGCAAUGCGUAGUAGAGAUUUAUCCAUCCUUAUACUGGCAAAGGGAACAAAUAGUGUCAACCAGAGAAUCGCGGACGAACACUUCAUUAGGAAGAAAUCACCUAACCUUAAAUGCCGGAGCGAGCACAACGUUUGGAGGUUAAACUACUGCUUCCAGAGCCUUUCACAAGUACCCGCAAGGACCCCAUAAAAUGUAAACUGGAAAAAUGUCUGAAGAAGAACCGUUGAUCCGAAAACGCUUACAAGAGUAAAUAUAACCUAACAACUUGCAACAAGGCUGUCCACAUUACCCGCCACAUGUAGGUCCUAUCUUUCUCUCUCCAUAUCUGUAUUUGUAUCAAUCUAUCUAUCUAUCUAUUUAUCUAUCUAUCUAUCUAUCUAUCUUCUAUCUAUCUAUCUAUCUAUAUAUAUAUAUCUGUCUGUCUGUCUGACUGUUUGCCUGUCUAUCUAUCUAUCUGUCUAUGCGUCUACAGCAUUUCUGUUCCCCUCACAUGACAACGGAUUUCGCCUUAACUAGAACUCCCCCCCCCAUCAUAUGACAACGGAUUUCGCCUUAAAUAAAACUACGCCCUUUAACUUUCCUUAGAGACACGUUUAGGAUGGAACAGAUCUCGUACAAUUCAAACGUCUCCUGAACAUAUACCACCAAAUAAUUUUAGUUUUAACCACGGAACUAUAAUUUUUUGCGAAAGUUAUUAAUACGUGUUUAAUAGGCAAUCAGUAGCUCUUUAAGUGUAUGGUCUAUUGUAAUCUAAAAUUAAGAUUACAACAUGAAAUACAUAAUGACAUUUCCAUCUGUUAUUAUAGUCCGAGGUGAUGAAGUUUAAAAAAUAUUCAAGUGUGUAGGUUUCUAACUAUAUGAUAAUAUGUGAAAAUCACAUGCUCUGCAAAUCAUUGAAUGGUUGAAAACAUAUCGUAAUGAAUCACCUCUCAAAAUUAAUCUGUCAUUCUCGAUGUCAGACAUCUGUUACAAUCCUCUUUAUUAAAAAAGACAAAGCUACAUAUUCAAUAUUAUUACAGAUGCAAACUUUUACGAUUACCCGAUAUUAACGAUGAACAUUAUUAUCUUCGCUUUAGUCCUAACUUUUGGUGUUGCGGUGUCAGAUGAUUGCAAUGUAUUGGCAGAGAAACGCUGUAGGUUGUCCAGUAAAUAUUUCCACACACUCAGACAUGAUGUCCGUUUUUGCAGACGACUCAGAAGAAAUAGAGUUUGUGCUUUUAAAAUAAGUGAUGAAUGUUUUAAAUAUUUCAAGUUCUACAAUCAUUAUAAAUGUGUGUUUCAUGGCGGAGCAGAUAUAAACAGAAAUACGGUCAGGCUGGAAAGAUUAUUGGCUUUUGCGUUUGUCGCUCAAUUAAUUAUAACGAAAUAAAGAAUCUAUUGUAAUAAAUAUAUUGUAUUAUUUCAUGUCUUGGUGAA